rnacentral:rRNA from 1 species
GACAGAGGGUGCAAACGUUGCUCGGAAUUACUGGGCGUAAAGCGCGUGUAGGCGGACUGGUGUGUCGGAUGUGAAAUCCCCAGGCUCAACCUGGGAACUGCAUUCGAAACUGCCAGCCUUGAGUGGUGGAGAGGGAAGUGGAAUUCCUGGUGUAGAGGUGAAAUUCGUAGAUAUCAGGAGGAACACCGGUGGCGAAGGCGGGUCUCUGGGCCAAAACUGACGCUGAGGAGCGAAAGCGUGGGGAGCGAACAGG